UACGUAGGUGGCAAGCGUUGUCCGGAUUUACUGGGUGUAAAGGGCGUGCAGCCGGAGAGACAGGUCAGAUGUGAAAUCCACGGGCUCAACCCGUGAACUGCAUUUGAAACUGUUUCCCUUGAGUGUCGGAGAGGUAAUCGGAAUUCCUUGUGUAGCGGUGAAAUGCGUAGAUAUAAGGAAGAACACCAAUGGCGAAGGCGGAUUACUGGACGAUAACUGACGGUGAGGCGCGAAAGCGUGGGGAGCAAACAGG
rnacentral:rRNA from 1 species